GCGGAAGUGGCGGAACUGGCAGACGCGCAAGCCUCAGAAGCUUGUGGGCUUCGGCUCCUGGGGGGUCAAAUCCCCCCUUCCGCACCA
rnacentral:tRNA from 1 species